rnacentral:sRNA from 17 species
CUGCAGCCAGGGCAGCCCUAACGGGGACGCCUGGACACUGCUAGCCGGUAGUGUGGUGUACGGAAAAACACCGGCAGCC